GCCGGGAUGAUGGAAUAGGCAGACAUAGAUGCCUCAAAAGCAUCGGCUCGCAAGAGCGUGCGGGUUCGAGUCCCGCUCCCGGUACCA
rnacentral:tRNA from 1 species